rnacentral:rRNA from 1 species
AGGAUGAACGCUGGCGGCGUGCUUAACACAUGCAAGUCGAACGAUGAAGGCUGGAGCUUGCUCUGGCUGGAUUAGUGGCGAACGGGUGAGUAACACGUGAGUAACCUGCCCCAGACUCUGGGAUAAGCGCUGGAAACGGCGUCUAAUACCGGAUACGAGCUUCCACCGCAUGGUGAGGAGCUGGAAAGAUUUCGGUCUGGGAUGGACUCGCGGCCUAUCAGCUUGUUGGUGAGGUAAUGGCUCACCAAGGCGACGACGGGU